AUCAACAAACACAAAGCCCUCGUUUUUCAUACUGUGAGGCCAAAAAAUACUGUGCUUGUUUGCAUUUAUAUCAGGCAUUUGUUCUUCAGAUGAUCCCUCGGCAGACACUUUCUGCUUAUUUUCACGGACAGCAUUGUUUAAAUACUCUGUUUCGGUAGAAGUAGCAGAAGACUGUCCAUGGUUUGCUAAACUAUAGGGGUGGCUAUGGAGACCAACAUCAAUGCCCUUUCCGUUGAUUGGAUACAUUUGAAAAGUCGCUUUGCUUUCACCAUUAUCCUGUGAGUCUAUAUCUGAAAACAAAUCUGCAGGAGGUGAU
rnacentral:misc_RNA from 1 species